rfam:Desulfobacteraceae bacterium IS3 Ga0073107_11474, whole genome shotgun sequence.
CCCGGCAAUGAAUUGCCGGGCUGUUUUCGUGCGUCCCUACGGGACU